AGUCCUUCUUUUAGACUAUUUUGGAUGCUCUCCUGCUAAUUGUAUAUUGCACUUAUCUGUGUGAGACUCUUAAUAUUUACUUGUGUACUUGUCCAAAGUUCUGUUUUAAGGUGCUGACUUUAUUGUGACUAAUUUUUUCAAAAGAUGGUCCUGCUUGCUGGUUGCCUGUUUUUCUACUGAGGAGAAAUGUCUGUUUGAGCUAUUUUGUAUUCCUUGCAAUUCCAUAUGAAUUUGGAAAAGGCUUGUCAAUUUCUACAAUGAAGUCCACUAGGAAUCUGAUGGAUCCUGCUUUGAAUCUAGAGAUUACAAGUAGGCAGAGAGGCAGGCAGAGAAAGAGGGAAGCAGACUCCUUGCUGAGCAGAGAGCCCAAUGCAAUCCCAGGACCCUGAGAUCAUGACCUGAGCUGAAGGCAGAGGCUUUACCCACUGAGCCACCCAGGUGCCCCUACCAUGUAAUUGGCCAAGGUGGCAGGUGAGGACACUGAUAUCCCUCAGCUUCUAGAAGGUAUGUUCUCAGCUACUGAUGCAAAAAUCAGGGCAUUGAUAUGUCCAUCAGGAGACACCUGGUACAGUGGGAAAAACAAAGAACUUGGAGACUAAAACCCGUAGCCUUCCAUCCCAGCUGAAGGUCGGUGGCCACAUUACCGGAUGUCUCUGAACUUGCCACUCUCUUCCAGGGUUGUCUUGGGAAUUUGAAGAAGUAAGUAGCGCAUAAAGCCGUCUAUGAAGAUUCUGGACUUCUUUUAACUUUUUUCUCCUUCCCUUACACCUAAGACUCUAACCACCUUUGGGAUUUUCACUUAAUAAAAGCAAGCAGAAUUAAUUUGAGUAAUUUUGCUCCAACCAUUCACAGGUAGAUCCAUAUGACACACCCUAUUUGUGGACCACUCAAAAGUCACUCCUAGCCCCCUUUCUUCCAAUCAGUUCUUGCUCUAGAGGCAGGAGCAAAUACUUGUUAGUAGAGACUGUGCAAGACAGUUCUGUCCCAUUCAUGAUUGCAUGCUGCAACGCAUUAUUCAAUAGAAAGUAUAUGGCCAUCUGGUAUGUGCCAAACACUCUUCUGGCCACCGGGGGAGAUGGAAAAAAUAUGUAUAUAUGUUAGAUAAUGCUUUGCAAAAAUAGUAAAGUAAAACACAGAAAGGAAUGGUGGAAGGGAAGUGGAAUUAUGAAUAGGGUGGUCAGGGAAGGUCUCACUGCAAAGCUGAAAUGUGCACAAAGCCUGAAGGAGGUGAGGAGCCAGCCAUAUAGUGACAGAGGGGAAAAGCAUACCAAGUGGAGGGAACAAGAGAUACAAAGGGGAGGCCUGGCCUUCUUAAAAUAGUGGGAGUCACUGUGGCUAGCGUGGAAUGUACAAAGAUUGUGUUGUCAAAGAGGGAUCAGAGUGGAAAUAAGAUAGCCAGAUCACAUGGGCCUCAUAAGCCCCUCUGAGGAGUCUGGAGUUAGCUCUGGGUGUGCUGGGAAGAUAUUGGGGCUUGGAGCAGAGAGAAGCCAUUUUUGAAUUUUACUUUAAUGUCCUCACUCUGCUUGGUAUAUUGGGAAAGGACAGGAUGAAUCAAGGAGAAGGAGGUGGGUGAGAACUGGAAGACAUUAGGGUGAUAUGAUGGUGACUUGACCAAGGAUAACAGUGGAAGUAUGUGGUCAUCAGCUGGAGGCUUCAAGAAAAGGUGUUGAUUUCCUAAUAAAAAGAAACAGAUCAUACUAAAUGGAUUCUUUUCCCUUUACUCUUCUUGAUGAAUGUGAUGACCUGACUGGUAGCAUCCAUCUUUGGUUCAAAAACAUGCUAAGACCCUGACCAGGGGCAUUGUCGAUCCCCCAACCAAGAGCAGCGAUUGUUCAUGUCUAGACUUCUUGUACUGUGAAUAAACAAAGCUCUGUUGAGUGUAUCUUCAGGAGCACAGUGCCCUCCGUGAUGCCCUCCUCCUCCUGCCCUUCUUCCUCAGGAGCCCAGCCAUCUGAAAACGAUCUGAAAGGCCAGGCUCCAAACUUCUCCAAGGAAGCAAAGAGCCCCUGUGUGACUGCAGGAGGAAGAGAUCAGAAACAUAUUCUCUCCUAAUCUCCCUUCAUCUGAGCUAAUUUUCAAAUGGACAAAGUAAUCAAUUCACGUGAUAAAUAUAGCUCAUUCAAUGGGCUGAAUGAGUGGCCGGAACAAUCCCCCAAACUUUGGUGUCCAUUGAAUAAUUGAAAUUAUGCUACGGCAUGGAAAUUUUUCAACAAAUAAAAUAUGUCUGAAAAUCUAUUAAAGAUACGUCUGCAAGAAUCAUUUGCAAAAGCCUAACUCAGCAAUAAAAAAUAAAUUACGUUUCCGUUCUUGCUGCCGUUCUCUUUGGGAAAGAGCAUGUUACUACCACUCCGUGGGCAGAGGGAGCCCGUGCAU